rnacentral:rRNA from 1 species
UACGUAGGGUGCGAGCGUUGUCCGGAAUUAUUGGGCGUAAAGAGCUUGUAGGCGGUUUGUCGCGUCUGCUGUGAAAUCUCAAGGCUCAACCUUGAGCUUGCAGUGGGUACGGGCAGACUAGAGUGUGGUAGGGGAGACUGGAAUUCCUGGUGUAGCGGUGAAAUGCGCAGGAUAUCGGGGAAGAACACCCGUGGCGAAGGCGGCUCUCUGGGACGGUACUGACGCUGAGACGGCGGAAAAGCGUGGGGAGCGAACCAGG